GAGCCAUCUCAUGGCUUUAACCACCUACUUUCUUGUUCUUUUGUCUCUCACAGAGAGAACAGCGUGUCCCAAAUGAGGCUGCUCCUUGUGGCUGGAUCCUGAGAUAAAGAAGACACGGGCGGUCAGCUGACCUGUAAUGGCUGGUUCUUCUGUGGCAAUUACUGGGGAGCUGUCACCAAGGGCAAGCUCAGUGCUGCUGAGACAGGUCAUGAAUCAUUCUGCGGGGCUGAAUCACAGCCAAAGCACAACUUCUGGAGAUCCUCAGGGCAUUGACAAGGACCCAAGAGACAGUCCUUCUGUCUGGAACUCUGAUGCUGGAACAAUGAUGCAGGAAGGACGUAGUCUUUCUUUCAAGGAGGUAGCGGUGUCAAGAGCCGAGCAACAGUACCAGUGGCAACAUCCUGGAGGUGCUGUCCAGGGCUGACCUUGGCUGUUGUUGCUGCUCUCUGGUCUUCCUGAGUUCAUAGCCUGGCUCUCCAGCAAUGACCAUUUAUAGGAUGUCAAGCACUCAACAUUCACCAGCCUAUAUAAUGCUGAAUGUAAGCCAUCAGAGAUUGGAUCUAUUAUGGUUCUGGUGAGGACAAUAGAUUUUAAAGGUUUGACUAACUUGACUAGCUAAUAAGUGGCAUCUACUGUCCUCUUUUUUGUAGCCAUGAGCCCCUCAUCCAACACUGGGUACACAUAGGAGCAGACACAUUUCCUUGACUUAGAUACUCCCUCUUUUUACUUUAAAUUCUAGCACAAAGUGCUGGAUACACCAGUUAGUGCAGUUAUCCAA